UACGAAGGGGACUAGCGUUGUUCGGAAUUACUGGGCGUAAAGCGCACGUAGGCGGACUUGUAAGUCAGGGGUGAAAUCCCGGGGCUCAACCUCGGAACUGCCUUUGAUACUGCGAGUCUCGAGUCCGAUAGAGGUGGGUGGAAUUCCUAGUGUAGAGGUGAAAUUCGUAGAUAUUAGGAAGAACACCGGUGGCGAAGGCGGCCCACUGGAUCGGUACUGACGCUGAGGUGCGAAAGCGUGGGGAG
rnacentral:rRNA from 1 species